AACGAACGCUGGCGGCGCGCCUAACACAUGCAAGUCGAGCGAGAACCGGAGCUUCGGCUCCGGGGACAGCGGCGAACGGGUGAGUAACACGUGGAUAACCUGCCCUCGGCACCGGAAUAGCCCGGGGAAACCCGGAUUAAUGCCGGAUAGCCCCACAUCCCUGCGGGGAACGUGGGAAAAGGUAGCUUCGGCCUCUGGCCGAGGCGGGGUCCGCGGUGGAUUAGCUUGUUGGUGCGAGUAAUGGCCCACCAAGGCGACGAUCCAUAGCUGGUCUGAGAGGACGAUCAGCCACACUGGGACUGAGACACGGCCCAGACUCCUACGGGAGGCAGCAGUGGGGAAUCUUGCGCAAUGGGCGAAAGCCUGACGCAGCGACGCCGCGUGCGGGAAGAAGGCUUUCGGGUUGUAAACCGCUUUCAGGAGGGACGAAGCCACUCGGGUGAAUAGCCCAGAGGGUGACGGUACCUCCAGAAGAAGCCCCGGCUAACUACGUGCCAGCCGCCGCUGUAAAAC
rnacentral:rRNA from 1 species